rnacentral:lncRNA from 1 species
ACAAACAAAACACACAUUCACAUCUUCAUCACACAAAAAUGAUUUUUUUUAUCACAACUUAAUCUCGAGGACUCAUCAGGGUCAGAAAAAAUCUAAAGAUCACAAAGGUAAUUAGUUGCAUAUUACCGUCAUAUCCACAUUGGAAUUUGAAUCCAAGCAAUUUUAGAACAAGAGUCAAAUCUUUAUCAUACAGACGAGUAAAAUUGAUUUUUUGUUGAAAAAAGAUAGUUAGUUACAUGAAACACUCACAUCAACAUUGGAAUUGGAAUCCGCACAACAGUAGAACAUGAGUCAAAUCCUUACCACAUAGACAAGUAAAAUUAUAUUUUUAAUACAAAACUAGAUCCCGACUACCCAUCAAAGUAAGGACAAAACUCAAAGCUAAAAAAUGGUAUUCAGUUACAUAUUACCCUCAACCACCUUGGAAUUUAUGAGUCAAAUUAUUGCUAUCCAAACAAGUAAAAUUAAUUGUUAAAAUUUAAUCAGCAAAAUAAUUGAAUCAAAUCAUUACCAUCAAUACAAGUAAAAUUGAGUAUAAAAAAAACAAAUUAACACAAGAAUAUGAGUUAAAUUUUACCAUCUAAACUCAUAAAAUUGAUUUUUUUUUUCAAACAAUUUAAUUGAUUAAGUCAUAAUGAUUUAGGUGUUACCUUAAUGACAGGCAUUUGGCCACCGAACAUCAUGACAACACUCAUCUGAAGGAUGAUUCUGAAGGUAUCACGAAUGUUAUUAGCAUGAAACUCUUUGAAGCUUUCAGCACA